rnacentral:siRNA from 1 species
UAUUAAAGUUGGUGUCAUUAUUA